rnacentral:rRNA from 1 species
UUGCUGGGUGGAUUAGUGGCGAACGGGUGAGUAACACGUGAGUAACCUGCCCUUAACUCUGGGAUAAGCCUGGGAAACUGGGUCUAAUACCGGAUAGGAGCGNCNACCGCAUGGUGGGUGUUGGAAAGAUUUAUCGGUUUUGGAUGGACUCGCGGCCUAUCAGCUUGUUGGUGAGGUAAUGGCUCACCAAGGCGACGACGGGUAGCCGGCCUGAGAGGGUGACCGGCCACACUGGGACUGAGACACGGCCCAGACUCCUACGGGAGGCAGCAGUGGGGAAUAUUGCACAAUGGGCGCAAGCCUGAUGCAGCGACGCCGCGUGAGGGAUGACGGCCUUCGGGUUGUAAACCUCUUUCAGUAGGGAAGAAGCGAAAGUGACGGUACCUGCAGAAGAAGCACCGGCUAACUACGUGCCAGCAGCCGCGGUAAUACGUAGGGUGCGAGCGUUAUCCGGAAUUAUUGGGCGUAAAGAGCUCGUAGGCGGUUUGUCGCGUCUGUCGUGAAAGUCCGGGGCUUAACCCCGGAUCUGCGGUGGGUACGGGCAGACUAGAGUGCAGUAGGGGAGACUGGAAUUCCUGGUGUAGCGGUGGAAUGCGCAGAUAUCAGGAGGAACACCGAUGGCGAAGGCAGGUCUCUGGGCUGUAACUGACGCUGAGGAGCGAAAGCAUGGGGAGCGAACAGGAUUAGAUACCCUGGUAGUCCAUGCCGUAAACGUUGGGCACUAGGUGUGGGGACCAUUCCACGGUUUCCGCGCCGCAGCUAACGCAUUAAGUGCCCCGCCUGGGGAGUACGGCCGCAAGGCUAAAACUCAAAGGAAUUGACGGGGGCCCGCACAAGCGGCGGAGCAUGCGGAUUAAUUCGAUGCAACGCGAAGAACCUUACCAAGGCUUGACAUGUUCUCGAUCGCCGUAGAGAUACGGUUUCCCCUUUGGGGCGGGUUCACAGGUGGUGCAUGGUUGUCGUCAGCUCGUGUCGUGAGAUGUUGGGUUAAGUCCCGCAACGAGCGCAACCCUCGUUCCAUGUUGCCAGCACGUCGUGGUGGGGACUCAUGGGAGACUGCCGGGGUCAACUCGGAGGAAGGUGAGGACGACGUCAAAUCAUCAUGCCCCUUAUGUCUUGGGCUUCACGCAUGCUACAAUGGCCGGUACAAUGGGUUGCGAUACUGUGAGGUGGAGCUAAUCCCAAAAAGCCGGUCUCAGUUCGGAUUGGGGUCUGCAACUCGACCCCAUGAAGUCGGAGUCGCUAGUAAUCGCAGAUCAGCAACGCUGCGGUGAAUACGUUCCCGGGCCUU